rnacentral:rRNA from 1 species
AUUGAACACUGGCGGCAGGCUUAACACAUGCAAGUCGAGCGGGGUGAUGGUGCUUGCACUAUCACUUAGCGGCGGACGGGUGAGUAAUGCUUAGGAAUCUGCCUAUUAGUGGGGGACAACAUCUCGAAAGGGAUGCUAAUACCGCAUACGUCCUACGGGAGAAAGCAGGGGAUCACUUGUGACCUUGCGCUAAUAGAUGAGCCUAAGUCGGAUUAGCUAGUUGGUGGGGUAAAGGCCUACCAAGGCGACGAUCUGUAGCGGGUCUGAGAGGAUGAUCCGCCAGACUGGGACUGAGACACGGCCCAGACUCCUACGGGAGGCAGCAGUGGGGAAUAUUGGACAAUGGGGGGAACCCUGAUCCAGCCAUGCCGCGUGUGAGAAGAAGGCCUUAUGGUUGUAAAGCACUUUAAGCGAGGAGGAGGCUCUUUUGGUUAAUACCCAGAAUGAGUGGACGUUACUCGCAGAAUAAGCACCGGCUAACUCUGUGCCAGCAGCCGCGGUAAAAC